AUAUACUAAAAUAUUUUGGAGUGCAAUGCUAUACUCUCUAAAAACAUGAACAUCAUUUAUAAGAAGACACAAUUCUCUGUAGGGGCACUUGCCAUGGCUUUAUUUUAGAAUGAUUCUUUGUGCAAGUGGUAGGGAAAACAUUGAUGUUUAACAGAAAUUCACUCUUUUGCUUGAAGGUUGGAGACUACAUGAGACUUUGACAGAUGGCGGGAAACCCUUCUCAACUGGUACGAAGCCGGUAAAUAGAUGGCCAUAAAACAGUGACCGCUGAUUCGCGUCGAGUUCUUUCUUGCAUAACGCAGAGAAAUGUCUGGGACUUAGCCGAGGGCAACUGGAGAAGGGUUGUUGAUGGCAAAACAGGUUGGAGACUACAUGAGACUUUGACAGAUGGCGGGAAACCCUUCUCAACUGGUACGAAGCCGGUAAAUAGAUGGCCAUAAAACAGUGACCGCUGAUUCGCGUCGAGUUCUUUCUUGCAUAACGUAUGACCCCCCUUUUUUAUUGUUUAAAUCAUUGCGUCUUGGAAUGCUCUUUAAGAAAAGGUAUGGUUAUGGGGAUGUCU